UAGUGAAAGGAGAAGCACAAAAUCUGGUAAAGCUGCAUUUUAUCCAGACAAGAAUGGGCAAGAGCGUGACCAUCAACUACAGCCUUUUGAGGGAUGAUGCUUCAAAAUCAAGCCAUAGGAAAGCACAAGUCUGUCAGUAAAAAUGCACCAUAUGCAGCAAAGUCCUCCUGUGUUUAUUCAGAAAUAAGCUCAAGUUCUCUGAGACAUCGCAUCAGUACGGAGCCAGGACGUGACUGCACUUUGGGGUCUCUCCAGCCCCCAAAAGUUCCAGCUGCAACCUCCCUUCCCCAGGCCAGCCUUUCUGAACGCUCCCCUGACCACCCCAGUCAAUGGCUCACAACAGUCUCCUGUUACUGGGUGCCUGCUCCUGCCUGUUCUCAUGACCUUCAGAUCACAGAACUUGCUUGUCUCCUGAGGGGAGAGCUUUCAGAACUCCUGAAGACCUGGACAGCGGCAGGCUCCAAGGAGCCUCACGAUGUCUGGCUGCAGAGCAUCCAAGCCUGGUACUGGACAUCAUUUACUCCAGGAAGAUGGAGCCAGCUAGGUCUGCCUUUUCUCUAGCGUCUGAUUCAGCCUUUUGGGCUCAUCAGUGGUUCCUGCUGCUUUUACAAGGCUGUUGGACAGAAAUACCUGUGCUCAGAGCCUACCUGGCAAGUACAUACUAGUGGUUAUACACAAAUGACCUUUCAUGUAUGUAAUAAAUUAAAGGUUUGUUUGUUUUAAGCAUUUGUAUUUAAAAAAAACACCAAACCACUUUGCUUGGGAGGAACAGUAGCAUGACACGUGACACAAGACACUGACACAGGUUACAGAAUCUCUACGAGCAUGGAAUUGUUUUUUGAAUUAAAAAAAAAAAAAAACUGUGUAGAAGACUUGCACAAGCACAGUCAUCCAUUUGUGAACACUGUUAGCAUGAGAAAGUGUUACAAUGCAGCCGCACUUGAUUUCAGGAGCGAGCAUAAAGACCAGUCAUGGGAAGCACGUCCCAACCAGAAAGCAGCUACACGGCCCCACGGAACAGGCAGCCCCCACAAGCAAUGCGAAGCUCCGACUCCAUAAACCAGAGAAGCCCCAGUGCAGCUGUCAGGCAAGCCUGCCAAGCCUUCAGAGGCUAUGCUUUAGCUACGUCUGCCUAGUCCACCAUACAGGCUUUAAGAAACAAAGACAAAAGCAAGCAUUCUUACUCCAUCGAUUACUUAGAGUUGUAGUGAACGCUCUGAGUCCCUCAGCAGGGUGAAUACUGUGUCCUUUCAUGAAAUAAAAGCACUAUACAUGUUUUAGAAAUAAAGCAAGUUAAUUGCCCGCGGGUACAAAGAACGUCUGUGAGAGGUGGAGGAAAUGGGGAAUUGGAAGCACAGUUCGAGUGCCAGCCUCUCUGCUGGAGGCAGCAGGACUGGAGGAGAGGCUGAAGGGGAGGCCAACAGGUCUCCACAGCUCCACCUGCAGCCUCCCAGCACGCGCUAACCCUGUAAGCGCCAGGUCCCGCUGCCGACAGGGUGUGCAGAGCCUGCACUGAGCAUCCAGUGUCACCAGGCCUCCGCCUGCUGCCUUCAGGUACCACAGGCUUUGUCUGGUGGCCCCCAGCGCCUGUGGCGAGUCACCCUACACUGUCCUCCUUUGGGGCCAGGCUCAACCUUAGACCUGUGCUAACAUCGGCCUACCUCAAGGCCUCUACAGCAGGUAUGCUGUCACCCUGAAGACGCUUUUUUCCUGCUCCUGUCUAUCAGAAAAAAUAAAGACUGCCUCAGCAGUGGCACAUGCUGCAGAAUUUAUAAAACCCUAAACUGUGCUCAGCAGGGUUUUUUUCCCUUUUAAUAUAUGCCUAGUCCACACUCAAGUGCACACAAACUCUACUCUUCAAUAUAAAUUUCGUAGAUCUGGUUCCUUUGCUGACAAGGUAACUGGCAACAGAAAGCAUUCCAUCACUUUUCACCAGCUGACCCCCAUAAGCCCACUGUGGGCAGAAGCCUUAUUAACAAAAAGGGAACAGCUUAUUUCUUGCAAAGUCACAAGCACAGGAGUUCAAGCUGUGACUUUGCUUACUGGAGGCUUUGAUAUUUCCUCAAUAAGCACCGCAUCAAACCAAAAGCUCGUCGUCUCCUUCUCCAGCUGCACAAGUCAGACUUGUACCAGCCAUUACAAAGGCUGCGUCCUCAGUCACAGCACCAAAAUGUCAAUGCUGCUUUUGCACAGUUGUCAGUCACACAAAAUACUCAUUUCUGUUUAAGUUUCUAAAACGUACUUAGUAAGUGAAAAAAUGUUAGUAGAGGGAUAACAAAAUGAAUAAAAGCACAGACUAGUAUUUCUGAAUUGGGAAUUGUAACAUAUGCUACAAGCUCUGACUGGCUGCUGGGAGGA